rnacentral:pre_miRNA from 1 species
AUCGCCACGCCCAAAGGAUCCUCAUUAAGGUGGGUGGAAUAGUAUAACAAUGUUGUACCUGAUGUUGUUAUAGUAUCCCACCUACCCUGAUGU